CCAAAUAAGAAGCAGAACACGGCGAGCAUUUGACCUGUAAGCACACCACGACGCGGCGCGAAUAAUAAUCAAAGCAUUUAAUCUGUAAGCACACCAUGAUGAAGAAAAAGCACACCACGACUUUUGUUUUAUCCAUAUUCCUCUUCCUUUUCUCUCGAUUCUAAGGUGAGUAGAAAUGUUUACUAAUUAGCAACCAGUGUCUUCUUUUGAUAUAUGUGAUUUUUUAAUAUUGUUGUGAAGUGGUUAAUUUUUUAUCUUCUGUUUGGUUGAUCAGAAACUAAUUAGGAAUUUAGAAGAAAAAUCGGAAAAUCUAGAAUAUUGUGAUCUAUGAUCAUGAUUGCAGGCUUUAUCAAAUGUUAAUUUAUU
rnacentral:lncRNA from 1 species